UAUUUUCUUAGAAUAUUAAAAACCAGUUCGUACAAAAUUCCCUUGGUGACGUCAUACUGGGUGUAUGGUGGUCACAUUGAUAUUUCUUGAGGUUGGUACUGAACACCGGCCGCUAGCUGUCACGAAGCCGGAACGGUGAAGAGGGAAGGAUUGGUCUUGGGAGUGUCAAUAAGAAUGGCGGCGUGAGUUUUCUAAUUAUAUAAUUAAAAUAAGUUAUUUCCAGUUGCAUAGUUCCAUUAUUGUUGUUGCAAGUUAUAGAAAGUUGAGUGAAUUAAAGUGACGGAAUAAUGAAACUCCAUUCGGGAGAAAUCUAUUAUUACCGCUGGUAAACCCUCUCUAACACCGAGAGCAGACACUUCCAAGAUUCAGUCAACCAGGGAACAAGUCUAAGGAUACAGUCCCAUUUGUUUUGUUUUGGUUCAUCCUCCUGCACCCUCCGAGGGACAGGUUCAUUAGCUAUUGGGCAGUUGCACCACUUCGGUGUUAACUUCGUACCACGGAUUUGGUACCACACACCAAGGAUCAGUGUUGGAACGCGUGAAAAGGGGUUUGUUUUGGGGGACAAUUAUUCAUACUAGUUAAAGACUUAUACUGUUUUUUUUUUGUAAUAUUCAGGACAUUUAAGUUAGAUACACAUAAGUUCAUAAUUUAAUUACACAUAAAUAUUUUUUUCUUUCUCUACAAAUUUAAGUACAUUUUAGUUAUAAUAACCAUGCCUAACAGUUAGUACUGUUCCCCCAAAUUUAUAUAAUUCUUGGUAGAAGUUUCGAGCUCGAAGAUUCUCCCCAUACAUGUUCUUUCCCCUUGGUUCGUAUUAAUUUUAGACUUGUUUUCUCAGUUAAUUUAAAAAUAAUAUUAGUUCAAUUCACCUAAAUUUAAAAUCAUUCAACUUAUUUCAUAAUUUUUCAAUUUGUAUUAGAUUUUUGUAAAUAUUAUUUAACGUUAACUAUUAAUUUUUUUAUAUUAUAUUUGAAUAAAUCCCUAGUACCCAUCCCCUCAGGAAGGUACUAGUUUUACUUGCGAUUAUUAUUUAGAACCACUAGUCAGAAAAGGAUCUUUUGUAUCCAGUACUAAGUUGGUUCAUUUAGGGACUUGUUACCCGUCAACACAUUGAGAGUUGUAAAAUAUAUAUUAUUUACAUUAGGUAUUUUCCUUAUUCUAUUAUCAGGUA